GACGAACGCUGGCGGCGUGCUUAACACAUGCAAGUCGAACGCUGAAGCUCAGCUUUUGUUGGGUGGAUGAGUGGCGAACGGGUGAGUAACACGUGAGUAACCUGCCCCCUUCUUUGGGAUAACGCCCGGAAACGGGUGCUAAUACUGGAUAUUCACUGGUCUUCGCAUGGGGGUUGGUGGAAAGGGUUUUUCUGGUGGGGGAUGGGCUCGCGGCCUAUCAGCUUGUUGGUGGGGUGAUGGCCUACCAAGGCUUUGACGGGUAGCCGGCCUGAGAGGGUGACCGGUCACAUUGGGACUGAGAUACGGCCCAGACUCGUACGGGAGGCAGAAGGGGGGAAUAUGGCACAAUGGGCGCAAGCCUGAUGCAGCGACGACGCGUGAGGGAUGGAGGCCUUCGGGUUGUGAACCUCUUUCGCUCAUGGUCAAGCCGCAACAAUGGUUGUGGUGAGGGUAGUGGGUAAAGAAGCGCCGGCUAACUACGUG
rnacentral:rRNA from 1 species